UACGUAGGGUGCGAGCGUUGUCCGGAUUUAUUGGGCGUAAAGAGCUCGUAGGCGGCUCAGUAAGUCAGGUGUGAAACCUCCAGGCUCAACCUGGAGACGCCACCUGAUACUGCUGUGGCUAGAGUCCGGUAGGGGAGCGUGGAAUUCCUGGUGUAGCGGUGAAAUGCGCAGAUAUCAGGAGGAACACCAGCGGCGAAGGCGGCGCUCUGGGCCGGAACUGACGCUGAGGAGCGAAAGCGUGGGUAGCAAACAGG
rnacentral:rRNA from 1 species